AGAAACAUUCAUACAGUCAAACUGAUGCAACAGGUCAGAAAUAUAUUUAUGCUGAUUAAGCAGCAUUCCACCAGGAACUACAGACAUCUCAAUGCCCAGGAAAUAAGGCAAAGACCCAAGGUCUUCGAUCCUGAACUGAUCAUCCAGAAACAGCUUCAGGGCAGAUAGCUCAUCAUUAUCAUCCCCAGUGAUGAUAAUGUCAUCCACAUAGACUGCUACAAUAACCAGACAGCCAGGCUGGCCUUUGAAUGAAUAUAGCCUCUGGAGUAAAGGGCAGAGGACAACUUGGCAUACCAUUGUCUGGAUGCCUGCCUCAACCCAUAUAGUGAUUUUUUCAAUUUACAUACAAAAGGAGGAGAUAGAGAAGAAACAGAGUCAGAAGAAGAUACAGAAACAGAUAAACAAUUCAUGGAAUGACUAUAGCCUCUGAAAUAAAGGGUAGAGGACAACUUGGCAUACCAUUGUCUGGAUGCCUGCCUUAACCCAUAUAGUGAUUUUUUCAGUUUACAUACAAGAGGAGGAGAUGGAGAAGAAACAGAGUCAGAAAAAGAUACAGAAACAGAUAAACCUGGAGGAAGCUUCAUAUAAACUUCCUCAUCCAAAUCACCAUGCAAGAAAGCAUUGUUAACAUCAAGUUGAAAAGUUUCCAAUGCUUCUUAGCAGCCACUGCAAUAAGACACUUUACACUGGACAUUUUAACCACAGGAGAAAAGGUGUCAGUAAAAUCAACCCCUUUAAUUUGAGUAUCCCCUCUAAUAACAAGUCUGGCUUUGUGUCUUUCAACACUACCAUCAGCGUUAUACUUGAUCUUAUAAACCCAUUUGCAGCCAAUGGGUUUCUUACCAGAAGGAAGAGGAACAAUGUCCCAAAUACAGUUAGCAUCCAAAGUAUCAAACUCCUUUCUCAUGGCAUCUUGCCAUACUGGACUGAUGCAGCUUGAGAGUAGUAAAUUUCUCAUGGCAUCCUACCAUACUGGAACUGAUGUAGCUUGUGAGUAGUAAAGGGGUUCAGUCUCCAGAGGAAAAGAAUAAGACCCAGAAAAAGCAGGAAGGUGGCAAACAUAAUCUUUAAGGUAAGAAGGAGGAUUGUGCUGUCUGCCUGAUUUCCUGGGAACAGCUGUUGAUGUGGAAGAAGGUAAAGCAGGAGGGGAGAUGUCAGGGUUGAAAGGAGGACCGGAAAGUGGAUUUGAAGAAGGAGAAGCUGGAACAGGAGGUGGAGAGGAAGAGAUUGGAACAGAGAAGUCUUGCUUAGAAGGAGGAAUAGAAUGAAUAGAGGAAGGAAAAACAGGAGGAACAGAGGUGACAGAAGAGGCAAAUUUGAAAGGAAAAGAAGUUUCAUGAAAGACAACAUCCCUGGACACAAAACACUUUUUGUAACUAAGAUCAUAUAGUUUAUAACCCUUUUUAGUGAAAGGAUACCCUAGGAAAAUACAAGAAAUGGCCCUAGGCUUUAACUUGUCCCUUUGAGGAAUGAGGACAGUAGCAUAGGCAAGGCAGCCAAAAGCUUUUAAAUGAGAGUAAGUGGGUGCCUUACUAUGCAAGAUUUCAUAAGGGGAUUAACAGUAGCAUAGGCAAGGCAGCCAAAAGCCUUUAAAUGAGAGUAAGUAGGUGCCUUACCAUGCAAGAUUUCAUAAGGGGACUUACCAUGAAGGAGCCUAGAGGGUAUUUUGUUAAUAAGAUAGGUAGCAGUUAAUAAGCAAACACCCCAAAAGAAGAUAGGUAAACUAGACUGGAAGAGUAAAGCUCUACAAGUUUCAAGAAGAGUUCUAUGUUUUCUCUCAACAACACCAUUCUGUUGAGGAGCAUGUGGGCAAGUGGUUUGGUGUAUGAUGCCAUGUUGGUUAAAAAGGGAUGUACCAGCAAUGCUAGAUCCCAAUUCUAAAGCAUUGGCACUCCUAAUAGUUUGAACAUUUGCAUUAUACUUUGUCUUGACCAUACAGAGAAAAGAUUGAAGCGUGCAGAAAGCAUUGCUUUUAGAUCCUAGCAGAUGUGUCCAGGUUGCCCAAGAAAAAUCAUCAACUAUUGUGAGAAAAUAUCUAGAACCAGUAGAGGUGGGGGUAUGAUAAGGUCCCCAAGUAUCU
rnacentral:lncRNA from 1 species